UGGGGAAUAUUGGACAAUGGGGGCAACCCUGAUCCAGCAAUGCCGCGUGUGUGAAGAAGGCCUGAGGGUUGUAAAGCACUUUCAGUGGGGAGGAGAGGACUUAGGUUAAGAGCUAGAGUUCUGGACGUUACCCACAGAAGAAGCACCGGCUAACUCCGUGCCAGCAGCCGCGGUAAUACGGAGGGUGCGAGCGUUAAUCGGAAUUACUGGGCGUAAAGGGUGCGUAGGUGGUUAGAUAAGUUAUCUGUGAAAUCCCUGGGCUCAACCUGGGCAGGUCAGAUGAUACUGUUUAACUCGAGUAUGGGAGAGGGUAGUGGAAUUUCCGGUGUAGCGGUGAAAUGCGUAGAUAUAGGAAGGAACACCAGUGGCGAAGGCGACCACCUGGACUGAUACUGACACUGAGGUGCGAAAGCGUGGGGAGCAAACAGGAUUAGAUACCCCUGUAGUCCCUGAGCGGGCUGGCAAGGCGCAU
rnacentral:rRNA from 1 species